AAAGCAUCAAUCCUACAAAGAAAAAUAAUCUAAAUCAUGUAUACAACUGUGCAUACUUUUUUUUAAUGAAGGUAGAGUCUUGCUAUGUUUCCUGAACUGGUCUCAAACUUCUGGGUUUCUCAAGUGAUCCUCCUUCCUCAGCCUCCCAAAUAGUUGAAAUUACAGGCAUGCAUCAUUGUGCUUUCUUAUGGUUUUAAUAUUCUAUACAUUAUUGAUUUAAAAUGCAUUUUACCUUUUCCUUUAAUAGAUCCUGGGAGUUCUGAUGAAUCUGCAGUCAGGUAGGAUUUUACAGAUUUAAAAAAUUAUGUUAACUAAGAAAAUACAGAUGGAAGAAACUAUUAUCUAUUGAGUGUUGUAUUCUAGGCUAAAUACCCUAUUAUGUGCUAUGCAUUUAUCUCAUAAAGCCAUCACAUUGUCUGUUUUCUUG